rnacentral:rRNA from 1 species
GAUGAACGCUGGCGGCGUGCCUAAUACAUGCAAGUCGAGCGAACAGAUGAGGAGCUUGCUCCUCUGACGUUAGCGGCGGACGGGUGAGUAACACGUGGAUAACCUACCUAUAAGACUGGGAUAACUUCGGGAAACCGGAGCUAAUACCGGAUAAUAUAUUGAACCGCAUGGUUCAAUAGUGAAAGACGGUUUUGCUGUCACUUAUAGAUGGAUCCGCGCCGCAUUAGCUAGUUGGUAAGGUAACGGCUUCCAAGGCAACGAUGCGUAGCCGACCUGAGAGGGUGAUCGGCCACACUGGAACUGAGACUCGGUCCAGACUCCUACGGGAGGCAGCAGUAGGGAAUCUUCCGCAAAGGGCGAAAGCCUGACGGAGCAACGCCGCGUGAGUGAUGAAGGUCUUCGGAUCGUAAAACUCUGUUAUUAGGGAAGAACAAAUGUGUAAGUAACUAUGCACGUCUUGACGGUACCUAAUCAGAAAGCCACGGCUAACUACGUG